rnacentral:rRNA from 1 species
AGUGUUUGAUCCUGGCUCAGGACGAACGCUGGCGGCGUGCCUAAUACAUGCAAGUCGAGCGAAUCUUUGGGAGCUUGCUCCCAUUGGUUAGCGGCGGACGGGUGAGUAACACGUGGGCAACCUGCCUGUAAGACUGGGAUAACACCGGGAAACCGGUGCUAAUACCGGAUAAUCCUUUCUCUCACAUGAGGGAAAGCUGAAAGACGGCGUCACGCUGUCACUUACAGAUGGGCCCGCGGCGCAUUAGCUAGUUGGUGAGGUAACGGCUCACCAAGGCGACGAUGCGUAGCCGACCUGAGAGGGUGAUCGGCCACACUGGGACUGAGACACGGCCCAGACUCCUACGGGAGGCAGCAGUAGGGAAUCUUCCGCAAUGGACGAAAGUCUGACGGAGCAACGCCGCGUGAGCGAUGAAGGCCUUCGGGUCGUAAAGCUCUGUUGUUAGGGAAGAACAAGUACCGGAGUAACUGCCGGUACCUUGACGGUACCUAACCAGAAAGCCACGGCUAACUACGUGCCAGCAGCCGCGGUAAUACGUAGGUGGCAAGCGUUGUCCGGAAUUAUUGGGCGUAAAGCGCGCGCAGGCGGUCCUUUAAGUCUGAUGUGAAAGCCCACGGCUCAACCGUGGAGGGUCAUUGGAAACUGGGGGACUUGAGUGCAGAAGAGGAAAGCGGAAUUCCACGUGUAGCGGUGAAAUGCGUAGAGAUGUGGAGGAACACCAGUGGCGAAGGCGGCUUUCUGGUCUGUAACUGACGCUGAGGCGCGAAAGCGUGGGGAGCAAACAGGAUUAGAUACCCUGGUAGUCCACGCCGUAAACGAUGAGUGCUAAGUGUUAGAGG